GAUAUAUGGUCAAGUGAAUAAGGGCAUACGGUGGAUGCCUUGGCAGAGACAGGCGACGAAGGACGUGGAUACCUGCGAAAAGCCUCGGGGAGUUGGUAAACAAGCUUUGAUCCGGGGAUAUCCGAAUGGGGCAACCCAGCCAGAGUGAUCUGGUUAUUGCACACUGAAUACAUAGGUGUGUAAAGCGAACGCGGUGAACUGAAACAUCUCAGUAGCUGCAGGAAAAGAAAUCAACCGAGAUUCCCGUAGUAGCGGCGAGCGAACCGGGAGCAGCCUUCAUGAUGUAGCCAUAGACUUAGGAGAACGACCUGGGAAGGUCGGCCGUAGUGGGUGAUAGCCCCGUAUCCGAAAAGGCUUUGGUGGAACUAGGCAUGAGCAAAGUAGGGCGGGACACGUGGA
rnacentral:rRNA from 1 species